rnacentral:sRNA from 1 species
AGUUUGAGAUUGAUGCGGAUGACUACAUCGUAUACGUGGAAGGUUACCGUGAGAAAGUUAACGAUAUGACGUCAGAAAUGAUCACGUUUCUUUCUAUUAAGACUUUUAAAGGCAAAACCUCUCAUCCUAUCGAAAAAAGACCUGGGGUUAAGUUUGUGCUACAUGGUGGAAAAAUCGUUGGGUUUCACGGACGUUCAACAGAUGUUUUA